GGGAGCUUGGAUGUGGAAGCUCUUUGGAAACCAAGAAACACUCUGCAAAUGAAAAGGGAAGCAGAAGUUCUCCUUAGCUGAUUUUUCUUCUUGCCUUAUACUGGGUUCUUUAACACCAGAACAAAAAUAAAUAAAUAAAAGAAUCUUCCAGAAAUUCAUGAAGAGACUUCAGGUCAGGAAAGCCUGAACUUUCUCAUCUAACACCUGUUCAAGUCGGAGGAUGCUGAUUAAUUCAUGAUGGAAAGGUAUCAAUUUCACAGCCCAGACUUCUACAUUCUUGAAAUGCUGUUCUCAUGGGAGACAUUAAAUAAGCUUUGAAAUAACUGUCAGACGUUUGCCGAAUUCAGUUCUGAGCUUUUGAACCAAAAGCAGAUCUUCAGAACAAGAAAGAAGAUAAUAAAAGAGAAACACAAAGAAACUGAAGAUGAUUGGAGAUAUAUGAAUCAAGAUGAUUAGACCUAGCAGAGGGCUGGCUGGAUGGCAUUUAUGUUGACGAUGGACUCCUACACAGAGGAUGAUCGUGGUCUAGGACAUAAUAGUCAUUCAAUCAUCAUUUCUUAAAUAAUGUUUUAAAACAAGUGAAUGAAUGACCAAUUAUAUAUCUUCCCUGAGCCAAUAAAAUAUA
rnacentral:antisense_RNA from 1 species